rnacentral:rRNA from 1 species
CUCUGUGAUCCUACGGGAGGCAGCAGUGGGGAAUAUUGCACAAUGGGCGCAAGCCUGAUGCAGCCAUGCCGCGUGUGUGAAGAAGGCCUUCGGGUUGUAAAGCACUUUCAGUUGUGAGGAAGGUGGUGUCGUUAAUAGCGGCAUCAUUUGACGUUAGCAACAGAAGAAGCACCGGCUAACUCCGUGCCAGCAGCCGCGGUAAUACGGAGGGUGCGAGCGUUAAUCGGAAUUACUGGGCGUAAAGCGCAUGCAGGUGGUUUGUUAAGUCAGAUGUGAAAGCCCCGGGGCUCAACCUCGGAACUGCAUUUGAAACUGGCAGACUAGAGUACUGUAGAGGGGGUAGAAUUUCAGGUGUAGCGGUGAAAUGCGUAGAGAUCUGAAGGAAUACCGGUGGCGAAGGCGGCCCCCUGGACAGAUACUGACACUCAGAUGCGAAAGCGUGGGGAGCAAACAGGAUUAGAUACCCUGGUAG